GGGCUUGUGGUCUAGUGGUAUGAUUUUCCCUUAGCAUGGGAGAGGUCCGGGGUUCAAGUACGUUCCACACCA